UGCGCCCGCUGACGACCGGCGCACGGGUGCGUAACGCGUAUGCAAUCUACCUUUUACAGGGGGAUAGCCCAGAGAAAUUUGGAUUAAUACCUCAUAGUAUAUGGCCUUGGCAUCAAGGCCAUAUUAAAGAUUUAUCGGUAAAAGAUGAGCAUGCGUUCUAUUAGCUGGAUGGUAAGGUAACGGCUUACCAUGGCGACGAUAGAUAGGGGCCCUGAGAGGGGGAUCCCCCACACUGGUACUGAGACACGGACCAGACUCCUACGGGAGGCAGCAGUGAGGAAUAUUGGACAAUGGGCGGGAGCCUGAUCCAGCCAUGCCGCGUGCAGGAAGACUGCCCUAUGGGUUGUAAACUGCUUUUGUACAGGAAGAAACACUCCCUCGUGAGGGAGCUUGACGGUACUGUAAGAAUAAGGAUCGGCUAACUCCGUGCCAGCAGCCGCGGUAAUACGGAGGAUCCAAGCGUUAUCCGGAAUCAUUGGGUUUAAAGGGUCCGUAGGUGGAUGAUUAAGUCAGAGGUGAAAUCCUGCAGCUCAACUGUAGAAUUGCCUUUGAUACUGGUUGUCUUGAAUUAUUGUGAAGUAGUUAGAAUAUGUGGUGUAGCGGUGAAAUGCAUAGAUAUCACAUAGAAUACCGAUUGCGAAGGCAGAUUACUAACAAUACAUUGACACUGAUGGAGGAAAGCGUGGGGAGCGAACAGGAUUAGAUACCCUG
rnacentral:rRNA from 1 species